UUUUUUUUUUUUUUUUUUGAGGUAAAAACCCCCACCUUUAUUAAUUCAUGAUGUUCAUGGGGAUAAUUACAGAAUCAUGUGGGGUGCCAAACCACACAUGACGGCCAAUCUCUAAAGAAAUAGCAAAUCUAGCUAAAGCAUGAGCCUCAAAAUUGCUCUUUCUACUCUCAAAACGAAACCUGCAUGCCCCAAACUCUUCUCUUCUGGCUGUUAUCUCCUUCACUAUGGCUGCAUUUGCUCCUCCCGUUCUUUCUACAAUGUCUUUUAUCACUGAUUGGCAAUCGGAUGCAAUCAGUAGGUGGUGUUCAUCUAGGUCAAGAGCCAAAGACAAAGCCUCCCUACAAGCCAAAGUUUCGAGCGUUGGUGGGUCUGUGAUCGCAUAGACCAUUGCUGAACUGCCAAGGUACAUGCCUCGCUCGUCCCUGCAUACAACAGCGGCAGAGCCCCUUCCAUUAUGCGUAGAAAUGGCAGCGUCGACAUUGAACUUUGAGAAUCCCGUAGGUGGCGGAACCCAUGGUUCGCGAACAUUGCAGGGAGCUACCGAGUUUGCUCGAACAUUGCAGGGAGCCGGCGGCGGAGUGGAGGGGCAUGGACGGACACAGCAGAAAUGGACGGGCAAAUGGGCUGAGCUUAAGUAUGGGAUAGACUAGAUCAUCGGGCUGGCUUUGUACUUUGCGGGCUGGGCUUAGCCCAGAAGGAGAUCGAUGUUGACAAUUUUAUUUGUUCUUGAGAACCCAUUGUCGUUGACUUCAUAGCUUCGACAAAAAAAGCUUGAUAGUUUGAAAAAGACUCACGGUGAGUGUCAGCGACUGAUUUCUCAUUCCGUUCGUGACAACAAGCAAUUUCGUGUUCACAAGUUUGCGAUUUGCAUCAGCUGAUGCCUGUCAAGGAACUAUAAAGGUGUGAUUGAAAAUAUGACCACAAAGUGGCUGUAGUUUAGUGGUGAGAAUUCCACGUUGUGGCCGUGGAGACCUGGGCUCGAAUCCCAGCAGCCACAUGUUGUUCUUGUUUUCUUAUUUUCUUAAUACGUUGCAGAAACCAGUGGAACUAUUUUGCUCUUUUGGGCAUACCAUUCACUUAUCUUAACCUUUUCUAUGCAAUAUAUCCGCUGCUGUGCCAAAAUAAUGGCAAGAAUCAGUGACUUCACAUAGAAUCCAGUAACCAAACUAGUUUCUGCACAAGCAUGUCUCUACUGUCAAUGACAUUUUAUAACGAGUCAGAAGUAGCUCCAACCACAAUAUCAUUAUGUUCCUUGGACAUAAUUUACUUCCCUCAACUCUUUCUUCUUGUGUUAACCUUUUUUUCUUGCGGGAUUUCUUGUGUUAACCCUUUCCCCAGGCGUGAAAAUGUAUCCAAGGAAAAAAACUGCAGCGCACAAAAUAGACCCUCAUAACUUACUGUCCAAGUGUCCAAUCAAAUUACAAAGAAUUUGAACCACAAUAUCAUUAUGUUCUUUGGACAUAAUUUACUUCCCUCAACCCUUUCUUCUUGUGUUAACCUUUUUUUCUUGCGGGAUUUCUUGUGUUAACCCUUUCCUUAAGAAAUUCCCCAGGCGUGAAAAUGUAUCCAAGGAAAAAAACUGCAGCGCACAAAAUAGACCCUCAUAACUUACUGUCCAAGUAUCCAAUCAAAUUACAAAGAAUUUGAACCAGCUCCAGCCAAAGCAACACGAGCAUUUCGCUAGAACAGGUUGAAAUGGUUGGUACCGAAUCAGCACAAUCCAGACCAUCCUUUUUUGCGGAUGGCAUAGAAUUCUUCUUUUUCUUCCAAUAGGGAGUGCCAUAUAUUAAUUAUCACAAGUCUUUCAAAAAAGAAGUUGUUAGAUGGAUAAGAGGGCAGAUAGCCCCAGCGAUCGAACCUCAUUCACAGGUGCUCAUAAGGGUAACGGUCUCCAUGUGUGCUUAUAAAGCUGGCCAGCUGGGUUAUAUAUUUGGGAACUUUUGCAACUAUAUCAAAAUUCUUUAUAAACGCACCCUUACAGGAAAAAACAAAAUUAUAUUCAGAGCAAACCUUGAUUGCUGCCUCGGCGCCUCCACGAAGUAAACUUGUUUAACCCAGUUGAUUGGAUCUAAUUAAAGACACAUUUUGCCAUCAUGUCUAUAGUAGCAAACAAUUGAUAAGAUUGUUAUCAUGUCCAUUAGUAUGGGGAUAACUAGAGCAGAUUGUUUCUUGAGAUGCUAAUUAGAUAACGCAUAAGCAUCAGGACAUACUAAUUUGGACAUAGGCAGAAACUCCAAAUUAUUAUUGUCUACACAUCAGGACGGAACUAGAACAGGUAGGAAAAGGCGCAUCACAGCACAAGACGCCUUACACAGCACACGGUACAAGCCACAAGGGGCACGGAUAAUCCAUUAACUAGCUCGAUACGAUACGAUAGAUCUCGUCUUAUUCUGGGUGGCAAUUUAAAACGAAACACACGCUUGCGAUUCAUGCAUAACUACUACUCGCUCCUUCAUCAGGUCCAUCCAUGCCAUCUCCUUGAUCUGAUUUGAUUGAGGCCUCAUGGAUCACUUGCAG
rnacentral:lncRNA from 1 species